rnacentral:lncRNA from 1 species
AUAUAGGCCGGCCAUGGUGAGGAGAUGGUGAAAGUUUGCUUAAUUGCAAGUUUGCCACUCACCAAAGAAAAGUGUUAUAAAAGCAACUUUAUAGCUAUUUUCUAAUUAGGGUUUUUCUUUGAGGCAAAGAGGUGAAACAUUUUCUCUCUUUCUCUCUACAAAGAGGUCAGCCACUUAGGGAGAUUAAUCUAGCAAUCUCUUCUU